rnacentral:rRNA from 1 species
CUACGGGAGGCAGCAGUGGGGAAUAUUGCACAAUGGGCGCAAGCCUGAUGCAGCCAUGCCGCGUGUAUGAAGAAGGCCUUCGGGUUGUAAAGUACUUUCAGCGGGGAGGAAGGGAGUAAAGUUAAUACCUUUGCUCAUUGACGUUACCCGCAGAAGAAGCACCGGCUAACUCCGUGCCAGCAGCCGCGGUAAUACGGAGGGUGCAAGCGUUAAUCGGAAUUACUGGGCGUAAAGCGCACGCAGGCGGUUUGUUAAGUCAGAUGUGAAAUCCCCGGGCUCAACCUGGGAACCGCAUCUGAUACUGGCAAGCUUGAGUCUCGUAGAGGGGGGUAGAAUGCCAGGUGUAGCGGUGAAAUGCGUAGAGAUCUGGAGGAAUACCGGUGGCGAAGGCGGCCCCCUGGACGAAGACUGACGCUCAGGUGCGAAAGCGUGGGGAGCAAACAGGAUUAGAUACCCCCGUAGUC